CCUGUAAAGUGAAAUGCGCGGGAAACCGCUCGUUGUCAAAUUUAGGUCCCUUUAGCCUGGCACCAAGCCGUGCAAUCACACCCAUGCAGACACCAAUGUGUAGGCCUACACUAUCGUCGUCUUUGUUCUGUCGGCACGCUCAAGCUCGGAUUACAUUUCGUGGAUUCUUGGCUGCAGUCUCUCACUUUCUGUAAACAUAAUGACACCCUAAGGAAAGCCUGAAUCUGCCUUUGGUGCUCAUAGGAACUUGCCUCACCGUUACUUCCAGACGGCACCGGACGACCAAUCUCAGGCCAGCAGUGUCUACGUAAGCCUACGUGCACUCGCUGCUGUCGAUAGGCUACGGGCCAUGUUAAACCCCGGCCAGCAUUCAGGCUAGUUUCCUCAGGACCAUGGAGGGCGGGCAACAGAAAGGCCAUUUUGUGACAAACAGUAUUUCUGUCAUAACCAGUGAUCUGAUGAUGGAUGAACUAGCGUGGUCGCUGUGGAACAGGGUCUUUUGGAUAGCGUCCGAACUGUUUGGUGCUAUGGUGGGAAACCUGUACCUAUCACCAAGGACGCAGGUGGAUCAAUGGCGAAUGAAUUGUCAAUCAGUCCAUCGUUGGCCCUAGCGUCAUCUUGAAGCACGUCCAAAAUGAUGUUACAUCGGGCGCAUAUCUGACAACGCUGCGAUGACCAACAGGCUGCUAUUUUGAACAGAAACGACCUCGACAUCACUAACACCAGAUGUAUGUGGAGACUCUUUCCGAGUUGCAAGAACAUGUCAAAAGGAGGGUAAGCGAAAAACGGAGGAAGCGCCCUUGCAAGUCAUCAUCCCCACCUUUCUCCAUCUUCCACCCUUCCCCCAAUAUCUGGCACAAAUCUAUGCUACCGCGAAAAGGGUCCAGGUGAGAGUAGGAGGGAGAAAUU